CCAGUGUGAUUUCAAUGUUCGGCUAUUGUGAACAGAGAAAGAGAUCAUCUCCCCUAAGGUGGAGAAGAUGAAGACGGGACAGAUCGACAAGACCAAGGAGCCCUUCAGUGUCAGGAACAAGCCAUUCUUCGACAUCCACGCAGCACGAAAGAUGGUGCAUGGAUGGGUAGAAUGUCAUUCUCCAUGAAUACAAUUGCAACACAACAGAAAAAAACAGCCUCAAUUCGUUGGGGCUUGGACUCUACAAGGUGUCGAAAGUGUUCCACAUGGAUGCUGGCCCAUGUCAACUUCAAUGCUUCACACAGUUGUGUCAAGUUGGCUGGAUGUCCUUUGGGUAGUGGACCUUUCUUGAUACACAGGUGAAACUGUUGAGCGUGAAAAAACCCAGCAGCAUUGCAGUUCUUAACCCAACGGAACGCACAAAAGACCACAUCCCUCCUCCUAGCAGCCAGCUGCCCUGCCCCUCCCGGUCUUCUCUCAGAGACAACAGCAUAUCAGGAGGCAGCCAUUGUCUGAACUGAGAAGUGGGAGUGUUGGAGGAUAUUGACAUUUAACACAUUCAAUAAAUAAUGUAUAAUUAACAAAAGGCUCUUAAUUAAUUUCACAACCACAGCUGUUGUUUUCCUCACACAUGAGCAAUGGGCGUGUCUAGGAGAUAUCAUCACCGAGCACUAA